rnacentral:rRNA from 1 species
UUCCGGUUGAUCCCGCCGGAGGCCAUUGCUGUUGGGAUCCGAUUUAGCCAUGCUAGUUGUACGAGUUCAGACUCGUAGCGAAUAGCUCAGUAACACGUGGCCAAACUACCCUUCGGACCACGAUACCCUCGGGAAACUGAGGUUAAUAGUGUAUCCCACACUCAGACUGGAAUGUCGAGUGUGACAAACGCUCCGGCGCCGAAGGAUGUGGCUGCGGCCGAUUAGGUAGACGGUGGGGUAACGGCCCACCGUGCCAAUAAUCGGUACGGGUCAUGAGAGUGAGAACCCGGAGACGGAAUCUGAGACAAGAUUCCGGGCCCUACGGGGCGCAGCAGGCGCGAAACCUUUACACUGCACGCCAGUGCGAUAAGGGGAUCCCAAGUGCGCAGGCAUAGAGCCUGCGCUUUUGUUCACCCUAGGGAAGUGACCGAAUAAGGGCUGGGCAAGACCGGUGCCAGCCGCCGCGGUAAUACCGGCAGCCCGAGUGAUGGCCGAUCUUAUUGGGCCUAAAGCGUCCGUAGCUGGCCGCGCAAGUCCAUCGGGAAAUCCACCCGCCCAACGGGUGGCCGUCCGGUGGAAACUGCACGGCUUGGGACCGGAAGGCGCGACGGGUACGUCCAGGGUAGGAGUGAAAUCCCGUAAUCCUGGACGGACCGCCGAUGGCGAAAGCACGUCGCGAGAACGGAUCCGACAGUGAGGGACGAAAGCUAGGGUCUCGAACCGGAUUAGAUACCCGGGUAGUCCUAGCCGUAAACAAUGCCUGCUAGGUGUGGCUCCCACUACGAGUGGGUGCUGUGCCGUAGGGAAGCCGCUAAGCAGGCCGCCUGGGAAGUACGUCCGCAAGGAUGAAACUUAAAGGAAUUGGCGGGGGAGCACUACAACCGGAGGAGCCUGCGGUUUAAUUGGAGUCAACGCCGG